rnacentral:misc_RNA from 1 species
UUGAGGAAGACAAAAGAGAAUGAUAGUCCCUCUUUCUACUUGACCCCACUUCAUACUUAGCAUUACUCCUGUGGAAAUAAUACAAAGAUUAAAUGCAACUAAAAAUUCAUGCCAUGCAAUGUAAUUUUAGGUUCUCUUUAUAAAUUGUGUAAGCAUUACAUGCAUUAUGCCCUGGACACGGGGGAAAUUCAGAUGCAAAUCACAUAGGCACUACAUGGCUUUACAGAUGGCUGGAGUUGCUGUAAUCACGAAACAGUGAAAGUGUAAA